CAGCCGUAAACUAUGCGCGUUAGGUGUAUCGGUGACCACGAGUUACCGAGGUGCCGAAGGGAAACCGUGAAACGUGCCGCCUGGGAAGUACGGUCGCAAGGCUGAAACUUAAAGGAAUUGGCGGGGGAGCACCACAACAGGUGGAGCCUGCGGUUUAAUUGGACUCAACGCUGGGAAGCUCACCGGAUAGGACAGCAGAAUGAUUGCCGGGCUGAAGACCCUGCAUGACUAGCUGAGAGGUGGUGCAUGGCGUCAGUGACU
rnacentral:rRNA from 1 species